AGCGGCGGACGGGUGAGUAACACGUGGAUAACCUACCUAUAAGACUGGGAUAACUUCGGGAAACCGGAGCUAAUACCGGAUAAUAUUUUGAACCGCAUGGUUCAAAAGUGAAAGACGGUCUUGCUGUCACUUAUAGAUGGAUCCGCGCUGCAUUAGCUAGUUGGUAAGGUAACGGCUUACCAAGGCAACGAUGCAUAGCCGACCUGAGAGGGUGAUCGGCCACACUGGAACUGAGACACGGUCCAGACUCCUACGGGAGGCAGCAGUAGGGAAUCUUCCGCAAUGGGCGAAAGCCUGACGGAGCAACGCCGCGUGAGUGAUGAAGGUCUUCGGAUCGUAAAACUCUGUUAUUAGGGAAGAACAUAUGUGUAAGUAACUGUGCACAUCUUGACGGUACCUAAUCAGAAAGCCACGGCUAACUACGUGCCAGCAGCCGCGGUAAUACGUAGGUGGCAAGCGUUAUCCGGAAUUAUUGGGCGUAAAGCGCGCGUAGGCGGUUUUUUAAGUCUGAUGUGAAAGCCCACGGCUCAACCGUGGAGGGUCAUUGGAAACUGGAAAACUUGAGUGCAGAAGAGGAAAGUGGAAUUCCAUGUGUAGCGGUGAAAUGCGCAGAGAUAUGGAGGAACACCAGUGGCGAAGGCGACUUUCUGGUCUGUAACUGACGCUGAUGUGCGAAAGCGUGGGGAUCAAACAGGAUUAGAUACCCUGGUAGUCCACGCCGUAAACGAUGAGUGCUAAGUGUUAGGGGGUUUCCGCCCCUUAGUGCUGCAGCUAACGCAUUAAGCACUCCGCCUGGGGAGUACGACCGCAAGGUUGAAACUCACAGGAAUUGACGGGGACCCGCACAAGCGGUGGAGCAUGUGGUUUAAUUCGAAGCAACGCGAAGAACCUUACCAAAUCUUGACAUCCUUUGACAACUCUAGAGAUAGAGCUUUCCCCUUCGGGGGACAAAGUGACAGGUGGUGCAUGGUUGUCGUCAGCUCGUGUCGUGAGAUGUUGG
rnacentral:rRNA from 1 species